CCUACGGGAGGCAGCAGUAGGGAAUUUUGCGCAAUGGGGGAAACCCUGACGCAGCAACGCCGCGUGACCGAUGAAGCUUCUAGGAGCGUAAAGGUCUGUCGUAAGGGAAGAAAAGUUUGGAUGUAAAUAAUGUUCGAACCUGACGGUACCUUACAAGAAAGCACCGGCUAACUUCGUGCCAGCAGCCGCGGUAAUACGAGGGGUGCAAGCGUUGUCCGGAAUCACUGGGCGUAAAGGGUCCGUAGGCGUCUUAAAAAGUCAUUUGUUAAAUACACCGGCUUAACCGGUGACCUGCAUUUGAAACUAUUAAGAUAGAGUUUAGGAGAGGAAAGUGGAAUUCCUGGUGUAGCGGUGACAUGCGUAGAUAUCAGGAGGAACACCAAUGGCGAAGGCAACUUUCUGGCCUAUUACUGACGCUGAGGGACGAAAGCGUGGGGAGCGAACAGGAUUAGAUACCCUGGUAGUCCACGCCGUAAACGAUGAGUACUUGGUGUCGGGGGAUUCGACCCCUUCGGUACCGGAGCUAACGCAUUAAGUACUCCGCCUGGGAACUACGACCGCAAGGUUGAAACUCAAAUGAAUUGACG
rnacentral:rRNA from 1 species